rnacentral:tRNA from 1 species
GAGGGUAUAGCUCAGGGGUAGAGCGCGGGCUUAGCAUGCACAAGGCCUUGGGUUCAACUCCCAGUACCUUUA